ACACCCAUCAUGGCGGACGCCGUCGGUGGUGCGCCCAUGGCGGGGCCGCUGCUUUAUUGUGCCGACGGCCCUGUCCCGGCCCCGUUCCCGGGGGAGGUUUCCCGUGUCCCGGGCUCAGGCGGAGCUGGGGGUGACGCGCCCGUCGCCCGCCUCGCUCAGGGCGGCCCAUUCCUUGCGCUGGAUCGUUCCCGUCUUCUCCUCGCGGAACUGCUGCCGCUGCUCCCGCGGGAUCUUCACCGCGUGGUGCUGCGGCAGCGCCGGCGGCACGGCCCGCGCCCGGCGGAAGAACCCCACCUGCGGCACCGGGCGCCCCGGUCACGCACCGGCAUCGGCACCGCGCCACGUGUCCCGAGGACGGCCACGAGCAGCGCCAGGAGGAGGACACCGGCCAGCACCGCCAGCAGGAUCACCCACCAGGGCACGCCGCCGGCCACCGCCGCGCCGGGGUCCAGCACCAGGUUCUUGAUGGAGGAUGUCACCGAGACGCUGGCGCGGAUGAUGAGCUCCACCGAGGUGACGGCCAGGAACUCCUGCGGGGCGGGGGGGGAUGAGCCCCGGCCCUGGCCCCAUCCCUGGCCCCAUCCCUGCCCCUGUCCCAUCGCUCCCACCUCCAGGAAGGUGCCGUUCCAGAGGCGGCCGCGGGCGCUCAGCACGGCCGCGCGCUCGAAGCUGGGCAAUGGGCAGCGGAAGGGCCAGCAGCGCGCGGUGCCCUGGGCACAGUCCUGCGGAGGGGUCAGACACCAGCGGGGUACCCAGGCGCAGGGGUGUCCCAAGAAUGGGGGUACCCCAGGAGCGGGUGCAACCCGUGAGCAGAGGCGCCCCAUGAGUGGGUGCACCCCAUAAGCGGGGGUACCCCAGGAGAGGGUGUGUAGGAAUGGGGGCACCGCAGGAGCAGGGGUACGCCAAGAACAGAUGAACCCCAUGAGCAAUGGUACCUCAGGCAUAGGGGCACCCCAUAAGCAGGGACACCCCAUAACUGGGUGCACCCCAUGAGCGGGCGCUCCCCAUGUAGGGUCCCCCCCUCUCACCAACGUGACGUUCCUCCUCCUCUUGGCGGGCGCCAGCACCCACCAGGCCCCUGGCGUGGGUGGCUCCGGCUGCCCCGGGGGCUCCUGUGGGGGGUAAAGGCCGGGAAUGGGGCGGGAGCGCUGGGAGCCGGACGGGCGCUGGCGGGUCCCUGCGGCUGCGGCCGUACCAGCGCCAGGCGCAGCGGGUUGGCGGCGGGGCUGCAGGGCACCGCCUGCCCCGGCGCCGCCGCCAGCUCCACGUGCAGCGGGUACAGGAGCCACUUCCCGUUGGGGAGCUCGUGGGGCCAGAGCAGCGUCAGGAAGGCUGAGCCGAGCGUCUUCACCGACUGGCCCCGGUUGGAGACCUGCGGGGACCGGGCGUCAAUGGGGCUGCCCCAUAAGUGAGCAUGGGGCGGGCUGUGGGGCCGCCCCCCCGAUGGGCACUCACCGUCACCUCGAAGCGCACGGCGCUGCCCACUUGGCUCUCACGCUUCACGGCGCUCUCCCCCAGCACGGUGCCGCCAAAGAAGAGCCGCGGUGGCACCGCCACGC
rnacentral:lncRNA from 1 species